rnacentral:lncRNA from 1 species
GCAGGGACAUGUCUUAAUUCAGACACUGCUUCCAAAUUGCAGAUCCUGGAAGAAACCCCACAUUCAAACACCACAGAGAAAUUUCUUUUCUGUACUUUUUUGGUCAGAGUGUGUGUUUUGGGUUUUUUUCUUUUUUCUUCUCUCCUCUUUCUUCAUCACUAGUUUAUUGGGUUUUGGGGAAUUUUCCUUUGUCUCUUUUCCUUGUUCCAGGUAGGGCAAGGACACCCAAGGCCACCAGCAAGUUUCUGCAUGUGAACAUGUCUAGUAAAUGGCCUAGAGAGAUCUUAAAAAGACAACCAAAGAACCUGAAUCUUCAAGAGUCAAGAGCAUGGAGAAUGAAGCAAGGAAAACGCAAAGAGGGCGGUGACACAUACAGGACAAGGGUACAAGGGAGGCAGCAGAACCACUCCGCCGAACCAUAACUGGGAGAAUUUGGCUUUCCUUCUGCGCCUGAGACAGCAGCCCAGUCUUCUGCGCCCCAGAGCCCCUUGCUAGCCUGCCUCACUGAGGGUGGUGUCACAAGGACCCUCGAGCUAAGGCUGAGCAAGGUAGUCACCAGCCAAAGGGCUCCAAGGUCAUUGUUCACUGCUGCUGAGAUCUGCAGGAUGCUUUUGCCUGGCCACAGCUGUGACUCAACGAUCAGUCUGUGUGAUUGCUGGCGGGCUGGAGCCAGACUGCUCUCACCAACAGGUAUCUGUCUUAAUCACAUUUUUCAGGCUUGGAUAUCAGCGUGACCUGAUCCUGAGAUAGCCAGCAAUUUGCCUGCUAGAGCACUUUUUUGAUUUGUGAGCCAAUCAAUCCUGAGUCCAUAGCUCUCACUGGUCUCCUGCCACCAGGCUCCUGCAAUCUGGGACAUUAAAUCAUGUCCUAACCACCCCAGGUCCCAUACUGAGCAACUAGGGGCCACCCCUGUACUCCAGAGCCUGGGUGGGAUUAUUCAAGCUAACAUCCAGUGCUAACCUGCCCAGCUAACCUGUUUACCCCGCCCCGCCUGUUCCUUCCACAAUACAGGCUUCUGGCCGCCUGUGUUCUCCCUUACAUGGCUCCUGGCUGACCCGGUGCUCCAUGGGUGGCCUGAGUGCUGGCUGUGGUUCCUGUUUCUGGGACCUGUGAAUAGGAAACCAUCCCGCAUGACAGUCAUUUCUAUGUCCAUGCAUCUUACUGUGUCCGAUUAAAAUAAAUCCCAGGUACAUUUUAAAACAGUGGCUGAUUUAAGACUCGGGAUUGUUGAGUAUCUCGUGUACAUCGUGGUACAUGAUGUAUCAUGAAUUUGGGUGCCUGGCUACCUCUUGUGUAUUUACUGUACCGUGGUGUUCGGGGCAUCAAGUUAAUUGUGUACAGAGAAG